UCAGAAAAGACUUGGUAACUUUAAAUAUCUCAGCAAGAGUGACAUUAAACAAAUGAACCUGAUGUACAAGUGUAGCGGCGGAGGUGGUGGUGGUGGUGGUGGUGGGGUCAAACCUCCUCCUCCCCCUCCCCCACCAGGAAACUGUAAGGACACAGGAAGGCAUUGCUCUUACCACGUACCAAGAGGCGAUUGCAAGAGAAUGCAGAUCGUCAGRGAAAAAUGCAGGAAGAGCUGUGGCUUGUGUUAGAUCUAUAAUGACCACAUGAGUAGUGCCGUAAUGAUUUAUGUGACCCUAAUCUAUAUCAUGAAUAAAUCUCUACCAAUGGAGUCAU